rnacentral:misc_RNA from 1 species
CUCAAAGCAGACAAUGUCGCACCAUGUCAGAAGUUUCACUAACAUGUACAAACAGAAGCCAAUAUGAAACUAUUACAUUACAUAUAUUCAUGUACAAGUAAAAGGUAUAACAGUAACUCUGCAUUAAAGAAAAUGUACAACAAACAUAUUCAAAGAUUAGAAACUUUUGGACUUACUGAAUUCAUAGCUUUAUCAUGAACUAAUUCCUCACUAGUUUUCAUGUUUCCCUUAUCACUUACCAAUUCACUACUCUUCAAUGUGUUGCCAUUGGGAUUCUCAGUGCCAGUGCUGGCUAUGAAACGACCGCUCACUGAACGGCCUAGAGGUGAACCAACUAAGGGAGUAAAAUCGUCGGAGGAGUCAGAUUCCACAGAUAGAUCUCUCUCUGAUGCUGUUGGUUCUAACUCACCUUUAGAUUUUCGUGAUGACUUCCGAGAUACAUGUCUUAGGAUAUUCUUCGCCUUGUCACGGACUCUACUCUUGUUGGAGCUACUACAUUGAACAUUUCCCUCAUGAGCCUCUUUACUAUCAUCUCGGGGAGUUGUUUCCACUGAAUCGUUCAUAAUAAGAUUCACACCGAUCCCCUUUGCACUCACUGCCUUUAGAUUAGCUUGCGGAGAUGGAACAGGAUCUCCAAGAUUUAUAGACCUGUCCUCGCUUUUCUGACUUUUGUGGAAGAAGGACCCGAUCUUAUUUAUACCCCUGUUAAUUAGAUUCGACUUCUUAGAUCCACUGCCUUCAUCAGAAUCAUCACCCCGAGUAGAUCCUCCCCCUCUUAACUUGAAACUUCCUCCCAUGGAAUCAGCAUCAGAACCAUGAACUUCUCCAUCGAUAACCCGACUCUUUCCCUUUCUCUGUUCCCAAACUUGUGGUACUUCACUGCCAGGGUGGUGUACCCACAUGCCAGUCUCCUUCUGCCCUUCUAUGUUAAUUGGUUCAUAUGUAUCUGCAAUUUUUGACGAUUGCUUAUCCAUCUCGGUGGGUAAGGACCCUCUUUCGGCUGUAUCCAUCUCAUCAGAAUUGCUCUCCUGUUUGAUGUCCGUUUUUGCCUGCUCGGAUGACUGCUCUGUAAACUUUUCGCUGCCUUCAACUACAGUUAUGGCAAGACGUAGUCUCCCCAUUUUAACAUUAUGAAGAGACAACCAUAUAUCAUGCCUCUGGCCAUCCCUAUAAUCACAGAUGUUUAUGGAAUAAUCUCCCAAUGUUUCAUCCGCAGAAAAAUGGUCUCUGUCACAAACAUCUAUGUUGAGCAUAUCGUUAGGAGACUCCCAUGAACAGACUGGAAUCUUGAACUCCUCUUGCCACUGUGGAGCUAAUGUCUUCUUCUGAGUCCUAGUCUUGAAUCUGUAGGGCCCAAGAUGCCCCUUAACAUAUGGAUCAGAGAGUCCAUUUAAAUCUGCUGGCUUUAAGUCUUCCGCUUCAAGGACUUCCAAAAUAACAUGGGCAAUGGGCUCCUUUGCAUCGAUAGAAAACCAGCUUUCCUCUUGUUGGGGUGAAACAAAUUUCUCCAUGUGUACUACCAGCAUAUUGGGCUCAACAAGUGUCUGCUCAAAUGCAACAGAAAGAAGAUUAUCCAGCCAUCCAGCAACUCCAGGAAGUUCUGUCACAUCAAUCCCGUGUGUAAAAAUCGGUUUUACAGUCAUCUGAAAGUAAGGAGGCUCAGCAAAGCACACCCGCAUACGACCAAGAAAUGGCCACUUCCUUAGGAACUUCACACCAAACAAGACCUUUCCCUCGAUGUGCAUUCCCAACAGAUGCAACUUUGUCACCAUCCCAAAUCCCAACCUCUUCUUCAGCUUCGCAGCAAGAAUCGCACUCAUGUCAUCUGCAGAACGAAAAUUCAUCCCCAGCUCCAAUACAAGGUGAUCAUCUCCAGUAGAUUCACGAAGAACCCUCAUUUCCGUGAACAUAGGUGGGCUUCUUCCUAAGUAGAGAGACUGCACUGCAAUGUCUUUCACAGUCCAGGGUUUGUAUUUCUGCAUAAACCACGGAAUGAUAGGGAGGAGAAUUUUCUGUGAAACGAUAUUCUCCAUGCAUACAGGCCAAAUCUUUUCAAGAGCAUGGUUUAACCACCUCACUGUUUCAGAAUCAGAAAGCACUCGUCGUUGAUUCGACUGUCUUUUUUCCUCAAACUGCAAUUUCUUCUUUAAUCUAGUCACAUACUGCUCAUUAACCAGAUAAAGAUAGAUUAGGGAGAUGAAAUAAACCAAAGGGUGACCAUAAUUGAAGGAAUUAAGCAACCAUAUUACUAUCAACACAAUGCACACAUGAUGUAGAAUUGUAACCUCUGUUAUACUUG